rnacentral:rRNA from 1 species
UGGGGAAUAUUGCGCAAUGGGCGAAAGCCUGACGCAGCGACGCCGCGUGAAGGAUGAAGGUCUUCGGAUUGUAAACUUCUGUUAAGUGGGAAGAAAGAGUUUCGGUUAAUACCCGGAAAAGAUGACGGUACCACUAGAGAAAGCACCGGCAAACUUCGUGCCAGCAGCCGCGGUAAUACGAGGGGUGCAAACGUUGUUCGGAAUUACUGGGCGUAAAGAGCGUGUAGGCGGUUAAUUAAGUAAGUUGUUAAAUUCCUUGGCUUACCCAAGGGUGUGCGAUUUAAACUGGUUAGCUAGAGGGCAAGAGAGAGGUGUGGAAUUCUCGGAGUAGCGGUAAAAUGCGUAGAUCUCGAGAGGAACACCGAAGGCGAAGGCAGCACCUUGGCUUGACCCUGACGCU